UACGUAGGUGACUAGCGUUGUCCGGAUUUACUGGGCGUAAAGAGCGCGCAGGCGGUCGUUCAAGUCGAGUGUGAAAGCCCCCGGCUCAACUGGGGAGGGUCAUUCGAUACUGAUCGACUCGAAGGCAGGAGAGGGAAGCGGAAUUCCCGGUGUAGUGGUGAAAUGCGUAGAUAUCGGGAGGAACACCAGUGGCGAAGGCGGGUCUCUGGGCCGAUACUGACGCUGAGGAGCGAAAGCGUGGGGAGCGAACAGG
rnacentral:rRNA from 1 species